rnacentral:rRNA from 1 species
GUGGCAAGCGUUGUUCGGAAUUACUGGGCGUAAAGGGCGCGUAGGCGGUUCGUUAAGUCCUGUGUGAAAUCCCCCGGCUCAACUGGGGAACUGCACAGGAAACUAGCGGGCUUGAGUUCGGGAGAGGGAAGCGGAAUUCCGGGUGUAGCGGUGAAAUGCGUAGAUAUCCGGAGGAACACCGGUGGCGAAGGCGGCUUCCUGGACCGACACUGACGCUGAGGCGCGAAAGCUAGGGGAGCAAACGGG